UACGUAGGGCGCAAGCGUUGUCCGGAAUUAUUGGGCGUAAAGAGCUCGUAGGCGGCCUGUUACGUCUGCUGUGAAAUCCCGGGGCUUAACCCCGGGCGUGCAGUGGAUACGGGCAGGCUGGAGGCAGGCAGGGGAGAACGGAAUUCCUGGUGUAGCGGUGGAAUGCGCAGAGUAUCAGGAGGAACACCGGUGGCGAAGGCGGUUCUCUGGGCAUUACCUGACGCUGAGGAGCGAAAGUGUGGGGAGCGAACAGG
rnacentral:rRNA from 1 species